rnacentral:rRNA from 1 species
GACGAACGCUGGCGGCGUGCCUAAUACAUGCAAGUCGAACGCAGUGGGGACGGGUGAGUAACACGUGGGUAACCUCCCAUCAGAGGGGAUAACACUUGGAAAUAGGUGCUAAACUGAUACUGAUGGCUGGACCCGCGGUGCAGUAGCUAGUUGGGGAGGGAACGGCCUACCAAGGCAAUGAUGCAUAGCCGACCUGAGAGGGUAAUCGGCCACAUUGGGACUGAGACACGGCCCAAACUCCUACGGGAGGCAGCAGUAGGGAAUCUUCCGCAAUGGGCGAAAGCCUGACGGAGCAACGCCGCGUGAGUGAAGAAGGUUUGCGGAUCGUAAAGCUCUGUUGUAAGAGAAGCGGUAUCUAACCAGAAAGCCACGGCUAACUACGUGCCAGCAGCCGCGGUAAUUC